GAAAUUAGACACAGAUCUACCCUGCAAGGAUGCCUAGGAAGAUUUAAAAGUAAAGUAGCAGGCUAAUUAGUUUGCAUUACAGCUUACUGACUCUCUGAAUGUGGUUUCUGAGCCAAGAAGAAAAACAUUGGGGUGAAAAUCUCCCUCCUUCCGCCUUCAACUAAUCCCUCUGCAGCCUUCUCCAGAAAAUCUUGAACCCUUUGACUUCCUUUUGGAGCAAGUCCCACAAAUUCUAGGGUCUUGACCAUGUUUCUUGUGAAAAAUCUGCCAACGGCUGUUAGUCGGAAGCUACUCAGAGAGAAGUGAUUUU
rnacentral:misc_RNA from 1 species